CACCCCGUCUGGGAAGUGAGGAGCGUCUCUGCCUGGCCGCCCAUCGUCUGGGACGUGAGGAGCCCCUCUGCCUGGCUGCCCAGUCUGGAAAGUGAGGAGCGUCUCUGCCCGGCCGCCAUCCCAUCUAGGAAGUGAGGAGCCUGACCUCAGAUGAUCCAACUGCCUCAGCCUCCCAAAGUGCUGGGAUUACAGGCGUGAGCUACCGCACCCGGCCACAACUCAUUUUAAGACUGCAUCCAGCCAAGAAGAACCUAAAGAGACAUGAUGACUAAAUGUAAUGUGGUGUCCUAGAUGAAUUCUUGGAACAGAAAAAGGACAUUAGGUAAAAAAUAAGGAACUCCAAAUAAAGUGUGAAGUUUAGUUAAUAACUACAACCCAUUGCAGAUUUACUGGGAUCCUUUGCUAAACACUGAGGACCCCAAGGGCCUGCCUCAAGGUCUUACCUGUCCUCAGAGGAUCCCUGGGCUGGCAUGCUGACCACUGCUAGAUCACAUAUCUCACUGAUUCAGGGCACUAUGUUAAGAUGCCUCUUAAACCAGACCGGAAAGAUCAUCUAGAGCUGCUUCUUCAUCAUCUUCUUCUUCAAAGUCACUCAUGAAAUCACAGAAUUAGGAGGAAUUUUAGAGGUCAUUUAGUGGUUGCCAUUACUAUGAGGAAUUAAAUUGGGGGAAAGGAAAGAUUCUAAGUGGUAGUUGUAAAUAUGAUUAUGUGCCCCAUAUCAAAAACUUUGGCUGGCACUGUGGCUCAUGCCUGUAAUCCCAGCACUUUGGGAGGCUGAGGUAUCACUUGAGGUCAGGAGUUUGAGAUCAGCCUGGCCAACAUGGCGAAACUCCAUCUCCACCAAAAAAUACAAUUAGCUGGGCAUGGUGGCACGUGC
rnacentral:lncRNA from 1 species